AGUCUAUUCAGAGGAACCUGUCCUAUAAUUGAUAAUCCACGAUGAACCUCGCUUGAGUUUGUUUUUCAGUUUAUAUACCGUCGUUAUCAGAAUAUUUUAUUAGAAUAAUAAUUUUCUGUAAUUUUUAUUAGAAUGUAUAUCAGAUCAAGGUGUAGCUUAUGCUUAAGUAGAGAUGGGUUACAAUAAAUUUAUUUAAACGGAUUUAAUUUUGAAAUGUUUUAAUGAAGGUGGAUUUGAUAGUAAAAUUUUAAAGAUUGUGAAUUUGAUUUUAGCUCUAGAAUAUGCACACAUCGCCCGUCGCUUUUACUAUUAAGGUAAAAUAAGUCGUAACAUAGUAGAUGUACCGGAAGGUGUAUCUAGAAUGA
rnacentral:rRNA from 1 species